UUUUAAUAGUUUAAUAAAAACAUUGGUCUUGUAAAUCAAAAAUAAAAUUACUUUUUUUAAAACU
rnacentral:tRNA from 2 species